GCCCAUUUCCCGCGCCUGACGCAGGCUCCAAGAGCAGCGCAGCCACUGCAAAGCGCUUGUGCCCCACCGGCGUUGCCCUGUUCUUCCCCACUUUCGAGAACAACGGACGAGUGGUUGCCCCACAUGUUUGGAGACAGAGAGAUUGGUGUGGUAAAAUUGGAGGCAGGAAACAGGAAUGUGGUGGAGGAAGAAGCCGAAGGCCAGAGCAUCCUGUAGGGCUCAUCAAAGCAAGGUAAGGCUUGCUUUAUUUGUGUAUUUCUAACUUAAUUUCAUAA
rnacentral:lncRNA from 1 species